UAGAAUAUAAUAUAAUGGGAGUAUAAAGAGUUUUGAUCUCUUAGGUGUAGGUUCAAGUCCUAUUUUUCUAA
ensembl:Mt_tRNA